GCAAGGAGGUAAAAAAACAAACAACAAAACAAACAAAAAAAACCCUUUUUGUAAAAUAGGUUUGAGUAUCGUUGGAUUGAGCACUUACCAAGCAACUGUGCCAGGCAUUUGUGUCCUUCAUUUAAUUCUUACAAGCCUGAGUGUUCGGUAUUUUAAUUUUAUAGGUGAACAAAUAGAAGCUGAGGGUGAAGGACCUACAGCUGUCACCUUUAUCUCUUCUCAACACUGCCAACUGUCCCCUUGGAUCUCCCAGACAGACAACAAGGGACAUCUCUGGUUUCUCGGUGCCCCCUAGAAACCUCGGGUCAUUUCAAGGCAUUAUGCAAAUGAGAAGCUUUCCUUCUCUUCACCUCAUCUCCUGAUCUGCACAAAAGUGACUGUAGGACCCAGUGUUGUAGAUGAGCAUGAGAGUGUGGAGCAGAGUCGGCGAGCGCAAGUCGAGCCCAUCAACCUGGACAGCUGUCUCCGUGCUUUCACCGGUGAGGAAGAGCUAGGGGAAGAUGAGAUGUACUACUGUUCCAAGUGUAAGACCCACUGCUUAGCAACAAAGAAG
rnacentral:lncRNA from 1 species